rnacentral:antisense_RNA from 1 species
GUGGGAGGGGGCUUGCUCCCGAUGGCGAUCGUCCAGUUAGACAUAGGCUGACUGAUACACCGCCAUCGGGAGCAAGCCCCCUCCCAC